rnacentral:tRNA from 2 species
GGGACUGUAGCUCAGUGGUAGAGCGAGCGGCUCAUAACCGCCUGGUCGUAGGUCCGAUCCCUACCAGUCCCA